rnacentral:tRNA from 1 species
GGAGAGGUGGCCGAGAGGCCGAAGGCGCACGCUUGGAAAGCGUGUAUACGGCAACGUAUCGUGGGUUCGAAUCCCACCCUCUCCGCCA